rnacentral:rRNA from 1 species
GUACACUCCUACGGGAGGCAGCAGUGGGGAAUUUUGGACAAUGGGCGAAAGCCUGAUCCAGCCAUGCCGCGUGCAGGAUGAAGGCCUUCGGGUUGUAAACUGCUUUUGUACGGAACGAAACGGCCUUUUCUAAUAAAGAGGGCUAAUGACGGUACCGUAAGAAUAAGCACCGGCUAACUACGUGCCAGCAGCCGCGGUAAUACGUAGGGUGCAAGCGUUAAUCGGAAUUACUGGGCGUAAAGCGUGCGCAGGCGGUUAUGUAAGACAGUUGUGAAAUCCCCGGGCUCAACCUGGGAACUGCAUCUGUGACUGCAUAGCUAGAGUACGGUAGAGGGGGAUGGAAUUCCGCGUGUAGCAGUGAAAUGCGUAGAUAUGCGGAGGAACACCGAUGGCGAAGGCAAUCCCCUGGACCUGUACUGACGCUCAUGCACGAAAGCGUGGGGAGCAAACAGGAUUAGAAACCCUGGUAGUCCCAUG